rnacentral:miRNA from 1 species
UACUGGCCUACAACAUCCCAAA